rnacentral:rRNA from 1 species
AACGAACGCUGGCGGCAGGCUUAACACAUGCAAGUCGAACGCACCUUUCGGGGUGAGUGGCAGACGGGUGAGUAACGCGUGGGAAUCUACCCUUCUCUACGGGAUAGCUCCGGGAAACUGGAAUUAAUACCGUAUACGUCCUGAGGGAGAAAGAUUUAUCGGGGAAGGGUGAGCCGGCGUUGGUUUGGCAAGUUGUUGGGGUAAAGGCCUGCCAGGGCGAGGAUCCUUAGCUGGUCUAAGAGGAUGAUCAGCCACAUUGGGACUAAGACACGGCCCAAGCUCCUACGGGAGGCAGCAGUGGGGAAUAUUGGACAAUGGGCGCAAGCCUGAUCCAGCCAUGCCGCGUGAGUGAUGAAGGCCCUAGGGUUGUAAAGCUCUUUCAGUGGGGACGAUAAUGACGGUACCCACAGAAGAAGCCCCGGCUAACUUCGUG